CUCGGUUUCUCCUCCCUCUGCUGGUCCUCUGGCGUCUCCUGAUCCUGAUCCUCCUCACAGAAACUCUCAUCAGACUCCUGAAGAGUUUAACUCUGGACUACCAGCAGAUUUCAGCUCAUUCUUGUCUUUAAAUCUCUAGAAAUGGGCACACGCCCAAUGGUCAGGAGAGAGGGAGAGAGAGAGAGAGAGAGGGGGAUGAUCACGCCUGAGUGGGUUCCUGAGCGAGCGAGGGAUCAGUGAACGAGUGCGGCAGUGAGGGACGGAGUGUGUGAGCACGGCGUGUGGAUGAAGCAGAGCUGAGGGGACUUCACUGGGUCACCACUGGCUCCUCCAGAACACGUAGCCUACAUACACACACACUGUACACACACACACGCACACUCUCGCACGCGCACUCUCGCGCACACGCAGGCACACUCUCGCGCACACGCAGCCAGUGCAGGAGCUUACAGGGGUCUGGUGCUGAAGGCUUUGUGUUGAAUCGCUCCGGGUGCAGUAAGGCGAGCUCACACAGCCAUGGAGGAGAACAUGGAAGAGGGACAGACACAGAAAGAUUCUCAGAAGCUGGUUUUCCCUUUUCAACCAUCCAUAUGAAUCUCAGUCAAGCUCAGAGAGC
rnacentral:lncRNA from 1 species